GCCUACAGCCAUGCCACCCUGAACAAGCCCUAUCCAGUCUGACCUCGAAAGCUAAGCAGGGUCGGGCUUGGUUAGUACUUGGAUGGGAGACCACCUAGGAAAACCAGGUACUGUAGGUG
rnacentral:rRNA from 1 species